GACGAACGCUGGGGGCGUGCCUAACACAUGCAAGUCGAGCGGGGAUUUAAGUGGAAGUUCUUCGGAAUGGAGAUUUAAAUUCUAGCGGCGGACGGGUGAGUAACGCGUGAACAAUCUGUCCCGGGCAGGGGGAUAACACUUGGAAACAGGUGCUAAUACCGCAUAAGACCACGGCCUCGCAUGGGGCUGAGGUAAAAGGAGCAAUCCGGUUCGGGGUGAGUUCGCGUCCGAUUAGCUAGUUGGUGAGGUAACGGCCCACCAAGGCGACGAUCGGUAGCCGGCCUGAGAGGGUGAACGGCCACAUUGGAACUGAGAGACGGUCCAAACUCCUACGGGAGGCAGCAGUGGGGAAUAUUGGGCAAUGGGCGAAAGCCUGACCCAGCAACGCCGCGUGAGGGAAGAAGGUUUUCGGAUUGUAAACCUCUGUCCUAUGGGACGAAGGAAGUGACGGUACCAUAGGAGGAAGCCCCGGCUAACUACGUG
rnacentral:rRNA from 1 species